rnacentral:lncRNA from 10 species
UUCUGUUCUCGAGGACUUCACAGUCAACUUGCGGCAGGAGGAGACACCAGUGUGCACCAGAGAAGGAGAAGUCAGAGAUGACAGUCCCUGCCUGAGGCCAUCUCUGGUCCACCAGACAACUCAUCACCAACUUCCCAACAGCCACUGCUCUAGGCCAGGUGUCCACAUGGGGAAUAGGUCCAGGCCCUCUAUGGCUCUCGCAGGAGUCAGGGAGGCAGAUAAAU